rnacentral:lncRNA from 1 species
ACUUAGACUGGUUCUAAAUAGAAAUGUAUGAUCCUUUAAAAAAGCAAGUUACAAAAUCCUCCCUUUCCCACUUUCACUACUAUGUAAGUUCGCGUUGUGGUUUCUCGUUUGUUCAUCCCUUCAGUCUGUGAAAUAACCCCUUUCCUUUGUAGCCUUACAAUCUGCACAUGCGCUCACGCUCUCCCUGCCAGGGGUAGGGGGGUGGGGAGGGGGGGGAGAAAUGCAGGUGUCGAAGGCUGUCUUGAGUGGAAAGCACACUGCGGAAUGUACUCCAAGAAGGUCAAAGGAUGUUACAGAACUCCCGAGAUGAAGCUGAAGGUUGGAGAGAAUGGAAGAUUGACAUGGAGAUGAUGGCUUAGAUAUGGACUAAAACUGCCUCUUCUUAGCUGGAAGACCCUGCAACAUUUGCUUGCCAGAAAGCACAAGAUGAGCUGGAAAGGGGAGCAUGGCCAAACACAGCACCAGAUCACAUAAUCUAGAAGAUCCUGUGUGGAACAGAGACUCAGAGCUCAAAUGUGAACAAGAAAUCCACUUUGUUCUUCUAAGCCAUGAGGAUCAUUUGCCAUAAUACAGGCCACACCCAGAUGAUCACCAGAACUAUAGCAGGAGAAUAAAAGAUACGGGCUCAUGGAACCAAAGACAGAGUGACCAACUCCGCACCUGAGUGGCAUGAAGACCCUAAAACCUUCAGUUAGUCCUCUGUGACUCGACUUUCUUGUCUGUAAGCUGUGGGUAACAAGAAAUCCACCAGAGAGGUGGAUCUCAAUUACUUCUCUACUGCUGUGAUGAAACACCAUGACCAAAGCAACCUGACGGGAAAGGGUUCACUUGGCUUACACGUCCAUCCCAUAGUCAGUCACUGGAAGGAGUCAGGGCAGGAACCUGGAGGCAGGAGCUGAUGCAGAGGCCACGGAAGGAUGCUGCUUACUGUCUUGCUCACAUGGCUCACUUAGCCUGCUUUCUUCUAUAACUCAGG